UACGUAGGUGGCAAGCGUUGUCCGGAUUUAUUGGGCGUAAAGCGAGCGCAGGCGGUCUUUUAAGUCUGAUGUGAAAGCCCUCGGCUCAACCGAGGAAGGUCAUUGGAAACUGGAGGACUUGAGUGCAGAAGAGGAGAGUGGAAUUCCAUGUGUAGCGGUGAAAUGCGUAGAUAUAUGGAGGAACACCAGUGGCGAAGGCGACUCUCUGGUCUGUAACUGACGCUGAGGCUCGAAAGCGUGGGGAGCAAACAGG
rnacentral:rRNA from 1 species